rnacentral:rRNA from 1 species
UACGUAGGGACCAAGCGUUGUCCGGAAUCAUUGGGCGUAAAGCGCGCGUAGGUGGCUUCGUAAGUCCGUUGUGAAAGUCAAAGGCUCAACCUUUGAAAGCCGAUGGAUACUGCGGAGCUAGAGUACGGAAGAGGCGAGUGGAAUUCCUGGUGUAGCGGUGGAAUGCGCAGAUAUCAGGAGGAACACCAAUAGCGAAGGCAGCUCGCUGGGACGUUACUGACACUAAGGCGCGAAAGCGUGGGAGCGAACAGG